AGCUUUGUGCAGUGGCAGUAUUGUAGCCAGUGAGGUUUAUCCAAGGCACAAUUAUCAUUAACUGAAAACUUUUCCCAAUACCCCGCCAUGACAACUUGCAAUAUAGUCGGCAUUGGCAAUUUUUGACAGUCUCUAUGGAGA